rnacentral:rRNA from 1 species
AGUGAACGCUGGCGGUAGGCCUAACACAUGCAAGUCGAACGGCAGCACAGAGGAGCUUGCUCCUUGGGUGGCGAGUGGCGGACGGGUGAGGAAUACAUCGGAAUCUACUCUGUCGUGGGGGAUAACGUAGGGAAACUUACGCUAAUACCGCAUACGACCUACGGGUGAAAGCAGGGGACCUUCGGGCCUUGCACGAUUGAAUGAGCCGAUGUCGGAUUAGCUAGUUGGCGGGGUAAAGGCCCACCAAGGCGACGAUCCGUAGCUGGUCUGAGAGGAUGAUCAGCCACACUGGAACUGAGACACGGUCCAGACUCCUACGGGAGGCAGCAGUGGGGAAUAUUGGACAAUGGGCGCAAGCCUGAUCCAGCCAUACCGCGUGGGUGAAGAAGGCCUUCGGGUUGUAAAGCCCUUUUGUUGGGAAAGAAAUCCAGCUGGUUAAUACCCGGUUGGGAUGACGGUACCCAAAGAAUAAGCACCGGCUAACUUCGUGCCAGCCGCCGCAGUAA